AUCCACAGAUCUGACUGCACUUGGCAAUGCCAGCCUGCUCCCAGCCUUCCCUGGCGGGUGGAAACCUGGCUUCAGCUACUGCUGACAAUUUAUAGGAACAUAACCACCUGGAAGAGAUGCUCAUUGUUCUAUAAUAACUCCUAGGGAGGUAAAUCCAUCCAUCUCCCCAUAACUGGCAAAAGGAAAUGAGAAAGGGGCUGGGUAAUGGGAGCCUUUGGGAGCCUAAAUCCAGGAGCUGCCCCAGGCUGAGACAGAGCUGGCUGGCAGUGGCACAGGAAAGGGUGACAAGGCGCAGGAUGAGAUGGGUCAGAUCCGUUUGCUCCACAGGGCACGUCUCUAACAAACUAAAAAGUGCUAUGUGCUGGUGACAUUCAGCAGUCUGCCAAAGAAAGCCAGGCUUCAGGCUCAGUUGAAGGCACCCCUCUGUUCUCAGGGUCUCAGCAGGCACCCUCACUUUUCCUGUUCUCUUGGUUCUCUGGUCCUCCUGUUCUCCCAGUCAGAAAUCUGUGUUGGCUUUUUCUGGAGUCUGACCUGCUCAGCACCCUGCUUUAGGUCCUGUCCAUGUGAAGAUGGAUGGCUCGUCUACUAAAGUGCUCUACUUUAAAGCUAGCACACCCCAGGUGUCAUUUCCUAGCAAUAGUCUGCGUCUCAUCAAGGAUCUGAGACAUUCUGUCCACCCAUCUGUGGGGCCACGAAGGGCAGACAGGGUUUCUUAUUAGCCUGUGGCCCCAGGAAUCUGCCUAUCUUAGCCUUAUCAGCAAUGGAAUUAAAAGCAUUUUCCGUCUGUGGUUGUUUGAAUCCACAGUUGCUGAGUCCACACAGAAGAAAUGCCAACUACAUUAAAAAAAAAUUGUAUGCACUGGCUUUGAAAAAACCCAACAUCACCUCUAUAAUGGUUAAUCUUAAUUGUCAACUUGACUGGAUCCAUAAUCAGCUAAGAAUGACUUCUAAGCAAACCCACUAAGGGAUUUCUUAAUUGGACUAACUGAUGUGGGAAGACACAUCCUAAGAGGGAGGCAAUGACUUUGGGAGAUGACCCAGAAAUAGAGAAGUCUAAAGGGAGAAAGCUUCUGGCUUUUUGCCUGUUCAUCUUCUGGUCUCAUUGGAGAUUUCAUCUACUCUGCUACUGCCACCCACCAUGGCCUCCGCCGCUGUCUUCCACUAACAUCAGAACCAAGUUCUUCAGCUUGCCACACAGACAUGACCGGAAGCUCUCCAGGAGUACUCCAGGUACGUAGUACCAGAUUGUGACACCUGAGACCUCCAACUCAUGGGCUGAGCAGCUACAGGGUUCUCGGUCUCUUCAGUGGGAGACAGCCAUUGUUGGUCAAUCCUGACAGAAUUCUGUAGCCAAUCUAGCAACUUCUCCUUUGACGCAUGUUCAUUCUCUCAGGCCUGUUCAAGAGGAGAACUCUGACUAAUGCAAUGCGGUUGAUCCAUUCGGCCAUUUUUUCCUAUGCUACUUUUUCUUCUUUUUAAUUUAAAGGUAAAAUAUAAGAUGCUGUAGACAGUAGCUAUAAUCCAAGCAGAACAUGAUGCUGUCUACACAGGGAUGACACGGAACAUGAUGCUGUCUACACAGGCAUGACACGGAACAUGAUGCUGUCUACACAGGCAUGACAGGUCCCCACACUGACUUACCUUUACUCUUGCUGCCUUUGUCGAGACAAACAAGCCUGUCCCUCAUUUAUCUAAACCAUAUUCAAAUGACCUGGCAAAGAAGUUUUAAAACUGCUGGUCUGUAAUCUAAACUACAAAUACACUUCACUGUACCAUUUAUUACUUAUGACAAAUGUCACUGUGGACAGAUAUAAAAAAAUGUAAUCACUGAGUAUAAUACUUAAAGAGCUACUUUUUAAAAUCAUGAAUGCAUUUUAAGCAUAUACUGACAAUAUACAAAAGCAUGGUUAUUAAUAUCUUUUAAAUGUGAAAGCACAAUGCUUCCACACAGCAACUAAGAUCUAAUUAUAUUUAGAGCUAGCUGAAAUUUAGUGAUUACAGUGGCAAUACCAUAUUUUCAUAUUUUUAGUCCUGCUUAUGUGUCAGACUGUAGUCUCAGAGGAUCUAAAUUGGCAUCUUCAAGUUUAUUUCCAAGUAAUCAUUUUUCAUCUCCUCUUCUAAUUUUAGUCAGCGCAGUUUUUCCUGCUGCACUCAGGUCUCUGACAGGUGUAGACUGGGAUCAGACCGGCAGUGUGAUCAGGCUUCAGGGAUGCUAUAGUGCCGACUAGACUUACAGGGAGCCUGCGCAUUGCGGUUCCAGCCACAGCAGACAUGACUGCCCUCCCAACUCCCGAUCAGUGUAAUGCUGUUGAUCAAUUUGGCCAUUUUUUCUCUAUGACACCUGUUUUGUUUUGAAUUUUGGGGUAAAAGGUAAUGCUGUAGACAGCAGCCACGCCCAAACAUGCAGAGCCUCCCUCCUGUAUCAGUACUUCUCAGCUGCAGCUCUCCUGACAGAGGCAGGACACUUUGCUUUCAGAGGGGCUUUUUAGCCUACGUGCAAGCAUCCCUCUUGGUGCUUCAUCAAUUGCAUGCCAAUAGCAACUCUACGAGGCUGUGAUGAUGGAACCUGUCUCUAGACUCGAGCUGUGUGUGCCUUCAGUUGGAGGCAGGCAGAGGGAGGGCUAAGUGGGCUCCUAGUUCAUGAAGUUUGUUCUUUCAGAAUCAUAUUUAUGAUCUGUUCCUGCUUCUCCAAACCUGUGAACUGCUAGGAAGGCAGGUUCCACUCUAGCCAAACAGGAUGACUUUUGACUGGUCCAGAUGCGGGAGGUGAUUCCCUCUUCCUCCCAUUUUGCUUCUGCUCAUGAACAUGUGAUACAGUUUCAGUCAAGGAGACACAAGUGGAAGUCCUUGACCUGGUCAGCAUUCGGGCAUGGAGGUGAAAAGGUUAGUUUGGGCUCUGUGUUGGAGGUUGCAAACCAGAAUCAGGUAGAUGCUGGUGGACAUGGUGGAUGGCCAGAACACCAUGGCAGAGCAAGCCACUGACCAUUAGCCCAGAAACAACAGAAAAAUGAAGACAGAGGCUCGCAGACCCUACUGUGCUCCCCCCAAGGAGCACAGUAGGGUCUCCCUGGAAAUGCUUUCUGAACCUUGGGGGACUAGUCCUCACAUAACUGUAGGAGGCUUCACUGAAGAAAGCCUUGCUCUUGAGAAUGGACUAAGCCAAACAGAGGAGUGAAACGAAGAGUACAUACUAAUCAAUAAGACUUCCUUAACAAAGUACCACAGACUGAGUCAACCUAAACAGCAGAACUCCAUCUAACCUGUAAAUACAAGAUCAAGGAAAGGUGUCAGCCAGGAGGUUUCACCUGAGGCCUGUCUCCUUGGCAUAGUGACAGCCAUCUCCUCCUGUCUUCACGUGGUCAUCCCUCUGGGAGUGUGCACCCAAAUGUCCCCUUCUUCAAAGGAUGCCAGUGAUACUGGAUUGGGACCAAUCCUAACAAGUGUGUUUUCACUGAAGUACCUCCAUAAGGCUUUCUUCUCAGACACAGGCCCAUUCUGAAGGUCAGUAAGUCAGGAAUGAAGUGGGUGAGUUGGGGGCAGAGUGCAGUGCGCACCAGGAAGAAGCAAAGGAGACAUCAAGACAGAGGAGAGGACUAUGGGAUGCAUUCAUUGAGAAUGAAUCUUUCUCUGUGAGAUGGGACUAAAUGGGUGCAGACAGCGAAGCUGUUCUAGCGUUAUCAUGGCCUGACCAUGACCUGCUAACGUAGGUGGAGUUGACCAAGAAUGCCAUCAAAAGCCAGGCGUUGUCCUAUGUUGCCCCUUUCAGAGUUUUCCUCCUCAUACUGGUUGCCUCAUGAUCACAGGAAGGCCUCUGAGCCCCAAGGCAGGAGGUAUGGGGAGGAUCUCCCUCAUAUAGAAGCAUCACUUUUUCCUAAAGGCCUCAACAUACUUAUAUCUCAGUGAGCUCAGGGAUGUGGGGCCAGCCCUGGAGGAGAUCAGGAAAUCUGGCAAUGCAAACAGGUGAGUUUUCUAGGACCUCUGCUAAUGGGCAUCAAGCAGAAAGGGGAGAGAGAGGGUGUAACAUGAUGGAUUAGACAAAUGACUAUGUUAGCUAAGAUAGAGAAAAACAAACAAAGGACAAUAUUAGGCGGGGUUAUAGAGAAGUUAAGAAUAUACAGGGGAAAUCAUCUCCAUUUAUAAAUAAAUGGUAUAUAUAAAAUAGUUUUCAUACCUAGCUUUCCCAGCAUGUUCUCACAUCCAACUGCUUGCUCCAUAUUAAGAUAAUUGCUUAUCUUUUGUCAUAAACAUGCAAUUUGUACUUAGCAGCUGCCUGCAGAUUAGGAGCUGUGUGUGUGCCCUGAGCAGAACAUGGGACAUACAGCACAGUAUCUGGCCUAGCACAAAUAAUUAUUAAAUUUUGCUUCAAUAAAUGAGUCAACUUAAUCCAGAUAAUUAUAGAAGAUGACAUAAUAUUUAUUUGAUAAGAAAAAAGUCACUCAGAUUUCUUUCUAUGCCAUCCAAGACCACCUACCUAUGGGUGACACCCCCCCCCCCUUGGUCUGGGCCCUCCCACGUCAAUCACCAAUUAAGAAAAUGCCCCAGAGACAUACUCAUAGGCCAAUCAAUGGAGCCAAUUCCUUAAUUAGGAUUCCCUCUUCUCAGAUAUGUGUAUGGUUGUAUCGAGUUGACAAAAACUAGCAACACACUAGCCUUCUUUAACAGUCUGAAUGGUCUUAUCUUGCCUAGGAGACAACUCGUUUCCCAUGGAGAGCUGUCUUUUCUGGCACAUUUCCCAAAGCACUCCAUUAAAAGAGCUCAGUUGAGAUGGCCCAAGUUAAGGAAGUCCAAGGUACUGGGAAAUUAUUGCUGGCCCGGAGAUGGGUACAGCAGCUGGCUGCUGUACACACGAGCUUACCACAGAGCAAACCACAUUCUGAUAGGCUAGAUUCUUAGUAAGUAAUGAGAGGAAAAGAAGACAACAACAUCGUUGUAAAAGCUUUGUACUUAUCUCAAGAACUUGCAUGAGGCUAAUAUUCUGAGUACAAAGUCACUUGGAGAAGAAAGGACUGUGAAAAGGCUGGUUGUUGAGGGCUCUUGGGUCUAACAAACUAUGGCCAACACAAACUGGAACAAAAUAACUCUAUAUUACUAAAUCAAAGAUAAAACUCUGGCCAAGUGGAUGCUCACAGUCAGCUAAUGGAUGGAUCAUAGGGCUCCCAAUGGAGGAGCUAGAGAAAGUAGCCAAGGAGCUAAAGGGAUCUGCAACCCUAUAGGUGGAACAACAUUAUGAACUAACCAGUACCCCGGAGCUCUUGACUCUAGCUGCAUAUAGAUCAAAAGAUGGCCUAGUCGGCCAUCACUGGAAAGAGAGGCCCAUUGGACUUGCAAACUUUAUAUGCCCCAGUACAGGGGAACACCAGGGCCAAAAAGGGGGAGUGGGUGGGCAGGGGAGUGGGGGUGGGUGGAUAUGGGGGACUUUUGGUAUAGCAUUGGAAAUGUAAAUGAGCUAAAUACCUAAUAAAAAAUGGAAGAAAAAAAAACAAAACUCUGGCCAAUAUUAAAAUAUGUGAGGUUUCUCAUUUUUAUCCUUGUGUCCUCAAACAUGUGACUUCAAGGGUAGAAAACACAAAGUCUGGUCUCUGAGAGUUAGACAAAUCUAAACUAUGACACUUUUAAUGAGAGCAGCAGUAAUAACCAGUCACUUCCAAGCUUAGAAAGCCACAUUCUAAUCCAAUCUAGAUCAAUACUUUUCCUACUAGAUUCAGCAGGCUGUUAAUAGGGCUUAUGUAAGAGAGGGACCAUUCCGAGGGAAAGCAUGCUUGAGAAACCCCAGGUUACAAGUAUUUGUCUCAUAUUUUUCUUCACUUUAAGGCAAUCCAAAGUCUUGACUAUGUUUUUUCUUUUUCUUUUCUUUUUCUUUUCUUUUUCUUCUUUUUCUUUUUCUUUUUCUUUUCCUUUUUCUCUUCUCUUCUCUUCUCUUCUCCUUCUCCUUUCUUCUUCUCCUUUCUUCUUCUUCUUCUUCUUCUUCUUCUUCUUCUUCUUCUUCUUCUUCUUCUUCUUCUUCUUCUUCUUCUUCUUCUUCUUCUUCUUCUUCUUCCUCCCCUUCCCCUCCUCCUCCUCCUCCUCCUUCUUCUCCUUCUAUCCUAAAAAUACUUCAUUCUAAUGUGUGUGUAGUUGUGUGCACACAGAUACAGUGUCUACAGAGGCCCGGGAUGAUGGAUCUCUCUGGAACUGGAGCUACAUGUAAUCAUGGGUUACACAAAGUAGGUGCUGGAAACCGAACUCGGGUCUUCAGGAACAGCAGUGUGCACUAUUUGAGCCACUUCUCUAGCCCCAAGUACUGAGUAGAUUUUAACCUGCAAAGUUUCCAAAGCAGGAGACAAAAUAUCAAGAAUUCUCCCAAAUUUGUUUGAUCACAAAACCCCAUUUACUUCUGAUGGAUCUUAUGAUACUAGCAGUUUGGGGACUAACAUCUUAGGAAAUGCUAAACUAGAUGAGAAGAUGGAAGUUAGGACAAAGAAGGAAAGAAAUAAUAAAUGAAAACUCUGAGAUCUCUUGGAGCUGCAUGCAACUUGUGAAAUUGUUAUGUAAUAUUCAUGGUCUAAAAGGAGAGGGGCAUAUAUGACAUUCUAACAUAACUAUAAAAAUAAUAAUGUAUAGAUAGUUAGUAUGAUUAAAAUAAAAAACAAAGCUUGGUAUCAUCAUUCACAGUCUACCCUGGCUCUCUAAUCUAGUUCAACUUUGCAAAUGAAUAUAUAGUAUACUAUAUAAUAUGUUGAGAACUAAUACAAACAUUAAGAGUAUGAAUCAUCCCACCCUGGCUUGGUACUGCUAAGGGACUAAACCUACUGAUGCUCUGUGUCCCCUUCUACUCAUAAAAAAAACCUGACACCACCUGUAUGUAUUCCCUGAGGACACCUGGGAUCUUCUAGGUGCUCAGGUUACCAGUGACCAUCACAGGCACCACACCAAACACUAAUCUCUACAACAACUCUAUGAAGCUGGGACACUGUUGCCAUUGCAUAGGCUGAGUGUCCCUCCAAGCUUUAUGCUGGAAUUUAACCUGUACUCUGUUGGUCUCAAGAAAGGUGUGGCACUUGGGGAGCUGCUCUCAUGACUGAAAUGGAUGUCAUGGUGGAAGAGGCCAAAGGCAGGGGAAGAGCACACCGUGAAGCUGCACACAGGGAAACAGGUCCUCACAAGCCUGAACUGGCAUCAACAUCGGCAUCGGCAUCUUGGGUUGUGAUGUGUGAACAUCAUUUCUAGUGUUUAUAAAUUAUUCACUUAUAAAUUAAGGAAUUUUGUUAUGGGUAUAGAUAACAUGUCAGCCAGUUUUCCAUCACUGAGACAAAAACACCUGGUUAGGCCACAGACCAGCACAUUUACAGAUGACAAGCUCCUUGUGACUGAAUCAAGCUGAAACCCUGGAGUUCAUGGUAGCCACACAAAAGAAAUGUUACCAAGGAGAAACCUCAUUCCCAAAAUAUCUUUGGUAUGAGCCCAGAAUGAGCUUAAGACACCAGACAAGCUGUGAAAUCAUAGAAUUUGCUCUUAAUUAACUUAAAAGUCACCAGUUUGGAGGCCACAUGAUUGAACCACAUGAGCUCCCUGGAGAGAACGUGCCUGCUGUGGAGACGGUAGCAACCGUUGUCUGGGUUACUCUGCAUAGAUUUGAAGGCUGUUUGGACGUGAGCACUGACUCUUGCACAGAGCUGUCAGAUGGUUGAAGGAUGACUGAAGCAGGUCACAGCAUGGUGACUUUGCCUUCAUGUUUUCUGUUCCCUUUACGGCCUCAACCUUUGAGUCAGACUGUGCUCAGCUUUGAAUGAAGCCAUGUUGCCCAUUUGAAAAUCUCCGCUCAAGACUCCAACUCAGGAUUCUUUGGCUGUUUGUGCUUCUUCCAGCCCAAGCCAGUGCCUUCAGCAGCUGGAGCACACGCAGACCCCCAGUCUUCUCAGAAGGCUGACACCAAACUAAAUCCAAGGACAUAAGAUGAUAGUGUCAGGAACAAGAGACCCUCAGGAGACCCAGGGUUGGUAAGCUGCCUGACUGCCCAACUCAGGGCCACAGUGCUUGGGCACACGAAGGAAAAUAUUUUUUAGCACAGUGUCCAUGCCGGAUGGACAAUUACCGAUGUGUAACCAUGCACAGGAAAUCCAUUUUAAAGCUUGCUAGUCCCUUUUAUUACGUGAAGCAGCCUGGCCUUCUGGCAGUCCCUGCGGUAUCCCUUGGACCAGCUCAGGCUGCAGGUUCAAUAAAGGAGCUCUAUCCAUCUUUUUCUUUUUUAAAUUAUAUGUAGCCUGCUCUCAUUUCUACUAUUUCCAUGAUCUAUAGUUCAGAUUUUUGGAGUCUACCUGGAUCCCCUGUGUUGAGGGCCUGUGUUGAGGCAGGACAUCAUGGCAGGGAACACAGGGUAGAAUAUGGCAGCUGGGAAGCGCAGGGGACAACACGAAGGGACCAGGUCUCAAUAUCUUAUACAAUGCAUGCUUCCAAUGACUUCUCUAGCUUUAGAGAAGGUCUACAUCCUACAGGUUCUGCCAUCCAAUGACACACGUGCUGGAGACCAAAUCUCUAGCAUGUAGACCUCUGGGGGGUAUUUAAGUGUCAAGCCAUGACAUAUAAAGAAAUUUAAACUUAUCCUGGCCUCUGUGAUGCCCCUGCUCUCCCAGACAAUGGUUUUGAAAUCAUCUUUCUGCAUUGAAUGAAAAUCCGGCUUCUUGUAAUGAAUCUUUCCACAGCAUCAGCCAAGUGAUGAAAACCUUUGUCAGAACAACACAGGUUUGGGACCCCGGGCAGCAAUGGCUCAGUCUCAUUCCGUUUACACCAUCAGAUUAGUCACUAGACAGAACUUACCAGGAAUCUAAUUAGGGAGAAGCAAGUUUGGUCUCCAGGACAUCAAUGGAUGUGUCUUGGAGUGUGUUCAUGAUAUACUGAAGCAGCGCCAAUAAUAGAAUCCAGGGCCCUGGAGCUUCUAGAAGGCAGCCAGGAAAUUUGGUGGGAUGCUGACUGUGGUCUGCGGUCUGCACCAGUGGGUACCUGUCCAAACAGCUGCUGUUGCUGCGUAUGUAAUGAAAGCUAAUGGUGCUCACAAUCAAAUGGGCAGAAAAAUCCACAUUUCUAUAGACAUUUUUAAAAUUUUUAGAUUGUCUGUUGUUCCCUAGAAAAAUAAAUCAAUUUUUAAAAACUAGAAUACUAAUUAAGAAACGACUCCUCUCCAGAGACAGAGGGACAUGCAGCUCAGGAGGUCCACUUGAGUUCCACUGGCCUGUGUUUAGAAUUUGGUUCUAUCACUCGCCAGCUGUCACCCCUUUGUCCCAGUUUCCUCAUGUAAAAUGAAGAUAAUAUUGGCAUCCCUGUCCACAGGGUUAUCGGCGCACUCAAUGCAUUCAUAUGCACGAGCUUCUUUGGCUAGUUAAGAGAAUCUCCUUACCUGUUAAAUGCAGAUUGAAACAUUUGAAACAACGCCCCAUGCAGUCUCAGAAGUUCCCAGAAGGCAGACACAUUAAUAUAUCUCAUGUGGGGCUUAGCCUUACUAGGAUGGGAAAAUAUUGGAAAUAAAAGAUUCUACAAAAAUAAAUGAAGAGAUAAGAGAAACCUCACUCUGGCAUUUAUGGUAGCAAAGCCUAGAAGAGAGAGAGAUCAAAGUCUCCCUGCGCUACAUUGAUGGUUUUAUGCCGAAAGGAGAUGCUAGCUAAUUAGGAUGUAUUUUUUUCUGAUGUUAAUGACUUUCCACAAGAUCCUGGCAGUUUUGAACGGCAGCAGCAGCUGGUGCUUGCUAUAUACCAGAAGAAGCAAGCAGCUGCCUAAGUUCCCCAUUGUAACAGAACAGGCUAGACCUAUAGGUCCCGGGUGGGGAGGAGGUGGGAACUGGACAAAGUUAGGGAGCUGCUGCUUGCUCUCUGCUGACAGGCUAAGGGUGGGCUCAGCUCAUCAGCCUAGUCUCCAAGGCAAUUAAUAUCCAUCUGCUUAAACACCCCAGGGGACCCUUCCCAGGGGACCCUUCCCCACUCUGUCCCGUUUAACCUCCUUCCACCACCAACCCAGGGUGAAGUUAAGAAAACCAAGGGUUUCAUACAUCAAAAGUCAUGAGAGAGGCUGGGUUGACCUCCAGGUCACCGCAAGAGACAGAGAAGCAAACAGGGACUUUGAAGAACAACUGUUGCUUCAAGGAUAUUAAGUCAGAGAUGGAACAUCUGGGUUAGCUCAAGAGCCAAUAUAAGCCCCACAAAAUGAGAGAUAAAACAGUAUUUUUAAAGUGAAACCCUUAUUUCGACUCAGUGAUGACCCAAAAAGUUUAAAGCUGUCCUUUGUGCCAAGGUGAUCUCUCUGAGUUGCUUGAAACACAGAUCCGGAAGCUCGAAGGGUUUGGACUUGGGGUUUGAGCACCAAGUGCUAGCCCAGAGAUCAGUGUUACUUCUAAGUCUAAGCAACCUUGACUGAGUCACUUAGGGACAACUGUCUCAAGCUACUGGCAGGCUGGUUUCAAACACUUCCAUCACUUAGAGGUAAAGACUCAAACAGCCUUUAAGGAGACACUUGCAUUUCAGAAGGAUGUGGGCCAGAAAGGUCAGACACGCAACUGCAACUGCCCCGUGUCUCUCUGCUUCCUCUUCAUCCUGCUUUUUAGUUUAUUUUCCUGUUUUCCCUGAUCUCCCCUUUUCUUGAUGCUUAUUUCUCUCUAGUAUGAGGUCACAAAUUGAAACCGUCUAUUUAAGUUCAAGAUUGCAUUGCCCUCUUAGGCAAGCAGGUACUUUGCUGCUCCUUCCCAGAGCUUAGGUAAAAUCUUGACAACUAAAGAAGUUCAUGUAAGGAUGAAAGUGACCAGCUUACUUGGUUUUUCCAGGAUUUUCCUGGUUUCACAGAGAUAACAUUCCUGCCCCCAUGAGUUGGCAAAUGCGUUGCUCUAUCAUUGUAGUGACCCAUGUUCCUAGGAAAACAGGAUGGCAGUCUUCACUGUCAGCUUGGCUGGAUUUAGAACGAUGAAGAAGAUACACUUCUGUGUAUGUCUGUGAGGGUGUUUCCAGAGGUUGCCUCAGGAGGGAAGACCCAUUCUGAAUAUAAGAUGUAUUAAUAGUAUGCAAGAUAUCAUUCUUGCAUUUGACAAACUGUUAAAGCCAUAUAUACUGACAAAUUAAACAUACCCACUGGCCUCUUUCUCCAAAUAAAAUCUAUACAAAAUGUAUUAGAGAGUAUAAAAAUUUAUAUCUACAGUCCAAACAA